ACGGAGCCGAAGGGAAACCAAGUCUGAAUAGGGCGUAGAGUUGGUAUUAGUAGACCCGAAACCGGGUGACCUAUCCAUGUCCAGGUUGAAGGAACCGUAAAAGGUUUUGGAGGACCGAACACACAUGUGUUGAAAAACGUGGUGAUGAGGUGUGGAUAGCGGAGAAAUUCCAAUCGAACUCGGAGAUAGCUGGUUCUCCUCGAAAUAGCUUUAGGGCUAGCCUCGAGCUGGAGUCUAACGGAGGUAAAGCACUGAACUGACGCGGGGCCCAAAAAGGUUACCAACUCAUAUCAAACUAAGAAUGCCGUCAAGAUACCCUCGGGAGUCAGUCUGCGUGAGAUAAGUCGCGUGGACAAAAGGGAAAGAGCCCAGACCGACAGCUAAGGUCCCAAAGUACGUGUUAAGUGGAAAAGGAUGUGGGAUUUCAUAGACAACUAGGAUGUUGGCUUAGAAGCAGCCAUACAUUUAAAGAGUGCGUAAUAGCUCACUAGUCGAGAAAACCUGCGCCGAAAAUGUAACGGGGCUAAAACACGACACCGAAGCUACGGAUUUCCUACAAGGUAGGAAGUGGUAGAGGAGCAUCCUGCAAGGACGAAGCCAAAGUGAGAGCGAUGGUGGACGAAACAGGAGAGAGAAUGCCGGAAUGAGUAGCGAGAUACAUGUGAGAAACAUGUAGGCCGAAUAUCUAAGGAUUCCUGGGUAAAGCUAAUCUUCCCAGGGUUAGUCGGGGCCUAAGGCGAGGACGAAAGUCGUAGUCGAUGGAUAACAGGUUGAUAUUCCUGUACUACACAUAAUCAGAACUGUGGGGACGCAGGAGGAUAGGGAAACCGGGGAAUGGAAAGACCCGGUCAAGCGUAAAGCUGUGGGAGAUAGGCAAAUCCGUCUCCUGUAAGUGAAACGUGAUGAGGACUGAAAAAAAGUAAGGAAGUUUCCGAAUCCACACUGCCGAGAAAAGCCGCUAUUGCGUUAUGUGUACCCGUACCGUAAACCGACACAGGUAGAUGAGGAGAAAAUCCACAGGCCGACGGGAGAAGUGUUGUUAAGGAACUCGGCAAAAUGACCCCGUAACUUCGGGAUAAGGGGAGCCUCGCAAGAGGCCGCAGAAAAGAGGCACAAGCAACUGUUUAGCAAAAACAUAGGUCUAUGCGAAACCGUAAGGUGAAGUAUAUGGGCUGACGCCUGCCCGGUGCUGGAAGGUUAAAAGGAGAGGUCAGCGCAAGCGAAGCUUUGAAUUCAAGCCCCAGUAAACGGCGGCCGUAACUAUAACGGUCCUAAGGUAGCGAAAUUCCUUGUCAGGUAAGUUCUGACCCGC
rnacentral:rRNA from 1 species